rnacentral:tRNA from 1 species
CUACCUGUAGCUCAGUUGGAUAGAGCGUGAGACUCCGACUCUCAAGGUCAUCGGUUCGACUCCGGUCAGGUAGACCA